AUUUCAGAGAUUUAAAAAGUAAUAAAAUGCUAAACACUGGUCUUGGUGGUCGUUAAGGAGGAAAGGAAUGCUGAAGCUAGCCUCACAGCCUUAUAGUCUGGUAUACUGUAGGUGGGCUAGUUUCAAACAGGG
ensembl:snoRNA